rnacentral:rRNA from 1 species
GACGAACGCUGGCGGCGUGCUUAACACAUGCAAGUCGAACGGAAAGGCCCUGCUUUUGUGGGGUGCUCGAGUGGCGAACGGGUGAGUAACACGUGAGUAACCUGCCCUUGACUUUGGGAUAACUUCAGGAAACUGGGGCUAAUACCGGAUAGGAGCUCCUGCUGCAUGGUGGGGGUUGGAAAGUUUCGGCGGUUGGGGAUGGACUCGCGGCUUAUCAGCUUGUUGGUGGGGUAGUGGCUUACCAAGGCUUUGACGGGUAGCCGGCCUGAGAGGGUGACCGGCCACAUUGGGACUGAGAUACGGCCCAGACUCCUACGGGAGGCAGCAGUGGGGAAUAUUGCACAAUGGGCGGAAGCCUGAUGCAGCAACGCCGCGUGCGGGAUGACGGCCUUCGGGUUGUAAACCGCUUUCGCCUGUGACGAGGCGUGAGUGACGGUAAUGGGUAAAGAAGCACCGGCUAACUACGUGCCAGCAGCCGCGGUGAUACGUAGGGUGCGAGCGUUGUCCGGAUUUAUUGGGCGUAAAGGGCUCGUAGGUGGUUGAUCGCGUCGGAAGUGUAAUCUUGGGGCUUAACCCUGAGCGUGCUUUCGAUACGGGUUGACUUGAGGAAGGUAGGGGAGAAUGGAAUUCCUGGUGGAGCGGUGGAAUGCGCAGAUAUCAGGAGGAACACCAGUGGCGAAGGCGGUUCUCUGGGCCUUUCCUGACGCUGAGGAGCGAAAGCGUGGGGAGCGAACAGGCUUAGAUACCCUGGUAGUCCACGCUGUAAACGGUAGGUACUAGGUGUGGGGUCCAUUCCACGGGUUCCGUGCCGUAGCUAACGCUUUAAGUACCCCGCCUGGGGAGUACGGCCGCAAGGCUAAAACUCAAAGGAAUUGACGGGGCCCCGCACAAGCGGCGGAGCAUGCGGAUUAAUUCGAUGCAACGCGUAGAACCUUACCUGGGUUUGACAUGGAUCGGGAGCGCUCAGAGAUGGGUGUGCCUCUUUUGGGGUCGGUUCACAGGUGGUGCAUGGCUGUCGUCAGCUCGUGUCGUGAGAUGUUGGGUUAAGUCCCGCAACGAGCGCAACCCUUGUUCACUGUUGCCAGCACGUUAUGGUGGGGACUCAGUGGAGACCGCCGGGGUCAACUCGGAGGAAGGUGGGGAUGACGUCAAGUCAUCAUGCCCCUUAUGUCCAGGGCUUCACGCAUGCUACAAUGGCUGGUACAGAGAGUGGCGAGCCUGUGAGGGUGAGCGAAUCUCGGAAAGCCGGUCUCAGUUCGGAUUGGGGUCUGCAACUCGACCUCAUGAAGUCGGAGUCGCUAGUAAUCGCAGAUCAGCAACGCUGCGGUGAAUACGUUCCCGGG